UGACCUCCAAUGCGCAAGUCAGUGGCGUCACAUCCUGGCAACGGUACUACCCUGGGUUCCGGGCAGGGGUGGAACUGGAUUCUGCCUGGAUGGGGAUCGGAUGGGGGUGGAGGUUUGAUUUGGGAAGCAGAGCACAGCAGCCCAAAUUUGUUGUAAUGGCGGCGGCUACAGAAUUGAUUUUGGGAACAGAACACAGCAGCCUGAACUUGAUUGUUAUUUUGGCAGCUACAGGCAGAACAAGAAGGCCAAACAGAAGCCUCCACCAAUUGUCCUCCCUGCAGGAAGAUCAAAUUGAACAACUAUCCACACAAAGAAGCACUUUAAUGAGAAUGAAAAAUCAGGUGAAUGAUCAUAGUACCUGGUUCUAACUUCAUACCACUGAAAGGGGCACUGAAGAUGGUAGGAGAGACAGUCUUGAAUUGCUAACACCAUCCCUGCCCCAUCUCCCAGUAGUUGCUGUGUGGCACGGAAAGAGAAUCUGUGUGUUUAAGGGAGAGAGAGGGCAGUGAUUGUGGGACUUUGCGUUGGAACUCACUACUGCCCUGUUACAGCAGAAAGCAACACCAGGCAUAACUCAGCCGGUACCCACAGAGGGAGCAUUUAGACCAGCCCUAACCAGUGGUCAGAACCUGAGUUCCACAAGCCUCACCACUGUGGACUAAAGUGGUCCGUGGUGCUAAAUGAAAGGCAGUCUAGGCCACAAGGAUUACAAUUCUUGGGCAAGUCCUGGUGCUGGGCUAAGCUCAGAGCCAGUGGACUUAGGGGGCAUGCACCCUAGUGAGAUACCAACUGGGGUGGCCAAGCGGGUGCUCGUACCACCCCUCCCUCAACUGCAGGUAGUACAGCUUGCAGCUUGCCUGUAGUCUCAGCUACUCGGGAUGCUGAGGCAGGAGAAUGGCGUCAACCUGGGAGGCGGAGCUUGCAGUGAGCCGAGAUCGUGCGACUGCACUCCAGCCUGAGCAACAGAGCGAGACUCCAUCUCAAAAAAAUAAAAUAAAAAAUAAAAAUAAAUAAAUAAAGUAGUUGAUCCAUGGGUAGAUAUAUACAUACAUACAAAUACGUAUAUGUGUGUGUAUGUAUAUAUAUGCACAGUAGAACCAGAACUGUUAACCCCCAUCCUUGUGGGAAACAGACUUAUCAACUAGACUGCAGUGCUUUUCACUAUAGUGCUUCUUUCACUUAACGCUAAGCUCAUGUGUUUCUGUUGCUUGAUAGCUCAUUUCUUUUUUUCACGAAUAAUGUUCUAUUAUUGUUGGACCACAGUUUGUUUAUCCGUUCACCUACUGAAGAACAUCCUGGUUGUUUCCAGUUUUUAGUAAUUAUGAAAUAAGUUGCCAUACACCCUUGUAUGCAAGUUUUUUGUGUGGAAGCAAGUUUGCAAACUAGUUGGAUGCAUACCUAGGAAUAGCAAGACUUGUGUUCAGCUUUGUUGAAAACAAACAAACAAACAAAAAACUGACAAACCAUCUUUGAAAGUGGCUGUACCAGUUUGCAUUCCCAGAAGCAAUGAGUAAGAGUGUCUGUUGCUCCUUAGUGUUGCCAGCAAGUGGUAUUGUUAGACAUUCUAAUAGCUGUGUAUCUCAUUGUUAUUUAAUUCACAAUUCACUAACGAAGAAUGAUGUUGAUGGUCUUGUCUUAUGCUUAUUUCCCAUCUGUAUAUCUUCUUUGGCGAUGUGUCUGUUCAGAGUUUCUGCCCAUUGAUUGAGUUUUUAUAAAUUUGUUUUCUUAUUGUUCAGUUGUAAGCCUCCUUUGUAGAUUUUGGAUACAGAUCUUCUAUCCGAUAUAUGUUUUGCAAACACUUGGUCAUAGUCUGUGGCUUCUCUUUUCUUUUUCCUAACAAUGUCUUUCAAAGAGCUUUCGAGGUUUCUUUUUUAUUUUUAGAAAGUCUAACUUAUCAAUUUUGCCUUUCAUAGACCACCCUUUUGAUGUUGUAUCUAAAAAAUUUAUCACCAAAACCCAGGUCAUGUAGAUCUUCCCCUAUUUUCUUCAAGAAGUUUUAUAAUAUUGCAUUUUAAAUUUGAGUCUAUAAUAUACUUUGAGGUUAUUUUUUGUGAAAGAUAUAAAGUUUUAUCUAGGUUCAUUUCUUUGCAUAUUGAGAUCCAUUUGUUCAGGUGCCCUUUGUUGAAAAGACUAUCAUUUCUCUAUAGGAUUAUCUUUGCAUCUUUGUCAAAAAAUCAGUAAACUAUAUUUUUAUGGA